rnacentral:rRNA from 1 species
GACAGAGGGGGCAAGCGUUGCUCGGAAUUACUGGGCGUAAAGGGCGCGUAGGCGGGAUGGCAAGUCGGUCGUGAAAUCCCUCGGCUCAACCGAGGAACGUCGAUCGAUACUGCUGUUCUUGAGGAUUGCAGAGGAGACUGGAAUUCCUGGUGUAGCGGUGAAAUGCGCAGAUAUCAGGAGGAACACCGAUGGCGAAGGCAGGUCUCUGGGCCGAUACUGACGCUGAGGAGCGAAAGCGUGGGGAGCGAACAGG